AGAGUUUGAUCCUGGCUCAGGAUUAACGCUAGCGGCAGGCCUAAUACAUGCAAGUCGGGGGGUAACAGGGUAGCAAUACCGCUGACGACCGGCGCACGGGUGCGAAACACGUAUGCAAUCUGUCUUUAACUGUGGAACAACUCCGCGAAAGCGGAGCUAAUACCGCAUAAUAUCAUGGGGUGGCAUCACCUUAUGAUUAAACCUCCGGGGGUUAUUGAUGAGCAUGCGUCCGAUUAGCUAGUUGGUGAGGUAACGGCUCACCAAGGCAACGAUCGGUAGGGGGUCUGAGAGGACGAUCCCCCACACUGGUACUGAGACACGGACCAGACUCCUACGGGAGGCAGCAGUAAGGAAUAUUGGACAAUGGGCGCAAGCCUGAUCCAGCCAUGCCGCGUGCAGGAUGACGGUGUUAUGCACUGUAAACUGCUUUUACUCGGGAAAAAACCCCUGCAUUCUUGCGGGGCUGAUUGUACUGAGAGAAUAAGGGACGGCUAACUUCGUGCCAGCAGCCGCGGUAAUACGAAGGUCCCAAGCGUUAUCCGGAUUUAUUGGGUUUAAAGGGUGCGUAGGCGGGCUAUUAAGUCAGUGGUGAAAUCUCCAUGCCUAACAUGGAAACUGCCAUUGAUAUUGAUGGUCUUGAGUACAUUUGAAGUGGGCGGAAUGUGUCAUAGUGGUGAAAUACUUAGAUAUGACACAGAACACCGAUUGCGUAGGCAGCUCACUAAACUGUAACUGACGCUGAGGCACGAAAGCGUGGGGAGCAAACAGGAUUAGAUACCCUAGUAGUCC
rnacentral:rRNA from 1 species